GCAGCGGGGAAACUUUCCCUGCCCUUCCCCUGCCUGCCCCCGCCUGAGUUGGCUCCGUGGGUUCCCGCCCGUGGGGGCGGUGGAGCAGGAGAAACGACGAGCCCAGGGCGGGGGGCGAUAACCCGUAUUGGAUGAAUGAAUAUACAUCUUCCCUUGGAAUUGGAGUGUUCCAUUCAGGUAUAGAGGUGUAUGGCCGAGAAUUUGCCUAUGGUGGUCAUCCGUACCCUUUUUCUGGAAUAUUUGAAAUUUCACCAGGAAAUGCUUCUGAGCUAGGAGAAACAUUUAAAUUUAAAGAGGCUGUGGUUCUAGGCAGUACUGACUUUAUGGAAGAUGACAUAGAAAAAAUAGUAGAAGAGCUUGGAAAAGAAUUCAAAGGAAAUGCUUAUCACCUAAUGCACAAAAACUGCAAUCACUUUUCUUCAGCUUUAUCUGAGAUUCUGUGUGGAAAAGAGAUUCCACGAUGGGUGAAUCGCCUUGCCUACUUCAGCUCUUGUAUACCGUUUCUCCAGAGCUGUCUGCCGAAGGAGUGGCUAACUCCUGCAGCCCUCCAGUCUAGCGUUAGCCAGGAGCUACACGAUGAGCUGGAGGAAGCUGAGGAUGCAGCAGCAUCAGCUUCCUUGGCAAGCUCAGCAUCUGGGUCUAGAACUGGACGCCACACCAAAUUAUAAGUCCUCCUCCAAAGUAAAAAAUGGUUUGAAAUACUACAGUUUAAUCUCUCCAGCAACUGACUUCCUGACAGAACAUGAGAGCUGACUCUAGAACAUUGUUUUUAUAUGCAAAAAAGGCUCUCAUCAACCCCUGUUUCAGCUCAGGAUUAUUUAUGUAGUGAAAAGAAUUGCUGGGAGAAAAGGGAAGGAUUUUGUGUGAAGCCACCCUUUUCAUUUUCACCUGUUUGGUAGACCUGGGUUAACUUUAACAUCUUGUAUAAAGCAGAACGUAAAUUAUUUGUUUACAGUAUUGUGUACUGCUGUUUACAAGUCCGGUAAGGACUCCUGCCACCAUGGAAGAAGAGAGAAUGAGAGUUUGAUUUAACUGUUGGUAUAACUCAAAAGCAGUGGUAUGAUGCCCUGGAUGAACUCUCCCCUUUGUUUUCAAGAUUUAAGGCAGGUGAACAUUCAAUUUCUGAGAAAUGCCAGAAACUGCUGAAUACUACAGAUGUGAACAGGGUACUGUGCACUUAAAGUGGCUGAUGUAAACAGGUAGAUUCCAGGAUGUAGGGAGACUGGUUUUGUUUAAGAUCUGUUUCUAAAAGUAUGACCUCUGCAUUAAUGAAACUGUGGGGUUUUGCACAUAUGAAGGGAAAUUUCUAUCUCAUUACGAUGCACAUUGAUCCCUUUUGGUUUGUUGUUUUGGUUGUUUUAACUCAGCCAUGUAGUUUGCAUCCCAUCUUCUGUCUGUAUUUACAGUCUACUUCAACCAGGAUUUAGACAUAUGAAAAUCAUCUUUUGGAAGCAUCAACAAAUUUUUCCCUGUUUGCUUUACUUGAUUUCAAACUUGUAUAUAAACUUGUGUUCUUUUUUGUUUUGUAUAGUUUGGAAUAGUGUAAUACAAGCCAUUUAUGGUUGGGGAAUGGCCUUGCUUUCUGCUGCUGAUUUUGCUUCAUUUGAGUUUGUAAACAUUUGUGUCUUUUUUCUUUUUUUUGAGCUAUAAAUUACUGCCCAGUUGUGCAUAUCCGCACAAAUUAUAGAGAAAUCCUAAUUUAUUUUCCCACAGUCUCUGUGGCAUUAGCUUUCUUGUCAGAUGUAAUGAAGAAAAACCUGAAAAUUGCUUAUGCACCUGCGUGUUUACACAGCAGAACCCACUAAUCUGCACACAUAAUUAUAUCUGGAGUGAAAAUGAAUAUGGUGGUCUCCAGUCAACUCUCAAGUAUUACAGAACUGAAUCUCACACUACUUACAGCUAAGACAACAGGCCACGGACAGGUUAUUUUGCCUCUGCUGUGCAGCUGUGGUAGUAACAUGACUAAGUCUCUUGGCCAAGGCAGGUCCUUUAUUUCAGCUCAGGGUUGAGGCCACUGAUCUAGCAAUGUACUGUAGCUUUUCCUAGAUUUUAGGAAAAAUAAAUAGAAUGAAUUUUCAUUGCUACCUAACUUUUAUGUACCAAAAUCAGCUUUUUAGGCUUCUGAUAUAUCCAGAGCGCUAGGUCACAAAUCUCUACACCGUCAUUAACACACACAACUGCAGCAUGUAAAUGCAAGAACGUGACAGAUCACAGCACAGUUUUUAUUUAGAAGUAAAACUGAGACUAUUUUUUAUAAAGCAGACUGGAAAGUUUGUAACAAAACCAUUCAUUUUAUCGGUAGCUGUACAGGUGAAAAUACUGUCCUAUGCUCCUUUUUUUUUUUGGUGGGUUUUUUGUGGUUUUUUGUUUGUUCUGUUUUGUUUCAAAACCAUCCAUUCGUAAAUCCUGUGAGGAAACUGACACCUGAACCCUGAAGGCUGUUGGGUAUUGUAUCAAAGCAAGCGGUACUGUAACUUCAGUCGCGCGCUGUCAACUCAGCCUCCACUGGAUGCCUCCGAGAAGUCGCCCUGCCAGUGGUUACUCCAAUUUGUUAGCAAUAGAGCAAGUUACCUUUCACCAGCAUUACUGCCAAGCAGGGAUUACUUUAGUCUACUAAUGACCGCACUGUGCUAGGACUAGGACACUCCAAAAUGCUGUGAGAAAGCUGGACACCUGUGGAGUCUUUUCCAUCAAAAUGGGUAGAAAAAUAUCACUACUUCAGGGUUCUGCUCCGUUUACUUUCUCAUUCUCGUUUCAUUUUCUGUAAGAUAGUACUUUUGAUACAUAUUAUAUUCUUUAACUCACAGUCAUUUUAUUUAAAUGCCAUUUUCCAUUCAGCAAGCCAAAAAAAUCCAAUGUACUGUCAGUGUGCACCAGUAACUUCAGAGUCGCUUGGUAAAAACAUAGUUGCAUUACUUCUAAAGUUUGCAAUGCAAUUCUGAUCACUAUUGAUACAUGAUAAUUUUCACUGUUGAAAGUUGGUUACAAGCUGAAUAUUCACUGAUGCAUUUUUUGUAAACUUGUAUUCAAGUUUACUGUACUACAUAGUAUUUGUAUAAAAUUCAAAGAAUUUUGACUUUUGUUACCUGUACAUGGCAACAAGUUGUCUAGCAUCUUAAACUUAA